GACGAACGCUGGCGGCGUGCUUAACACAUGCAAGUCGAACGGUGAAGGGACCGGUUUUUGCUGGUUCUGGAUGAGUGGCGAACGGGUGAGUAACACGUGAGUAACCUGCCCCCUUCUUCUGGAUAACCGCAUGAAAGUGUGGCUAAUACGGGAUAUUCUGCGCCUGCUGCAUGGUGGGUGUGGGAAAGAUAUUGUUUCGGUGGGGGAUGGGCUCGCGGCCUAUCAGCUUGUUGGUGGGGUGAUGGCCUACCAAGGCGGUGACGGGUAGCCGGCCUGAGAGGGUGGACGGUCACACUGGGACUGAGACACGGCCCAGACUCCUACGGGAGGCAGCAGUGGGGAAUAGUGCACAAUGGGCGCAAGCCUGAUGCAGCGACGCCGCGUGAGGGAUGGAGGCCUUCGGGUUGUAAACCUCUUUCGCCAGUGAAGCAGGCCUGUCCCUUGUGUGGGUGGGUUGACGGUAGCUGGAGAAGAAGCGCCGGCUAACUACGUG
rnacentral:rRNA from 1 species